rnacentral:rRNA from 1 species
AUUGAACGCUGGCGGCAGGCCUAACACAUGCAAGUCGAGCGGCAGCGGGAAGUAACUUGUUACUUUGCCGGCGAGCGGCGGACGGGUGAGUAAUGGCUGGGAACCUGCCCUAACGAGGGGGAUAACAGUUGGAAACGACUGCUAAUACCGCAUAAUGUCUUCGGACCAAAGAAGGGGAUCUUCGGACCUUUCGCGUUGGGAUGGGCCCAGUUGGGAUUAGCUUGUUGGUGAGGUAAUGGCUCACCAAGGCGACGAUCUCUAGCUGGUUUGAGAGGAUGAUCAGCCACACUGGAACUGAGACACGGUCCAGACUCCUACGGGAGGCAGCAGUGGGGAAUAUUGCACAAUGGGCGCAAGCCUGAUGCAGCCAUGCCGCGUGUGUGAAGAAGGCCUUCGGGUUGU